rnacentral:tRNA from 1 species
GGGCCCGUAGCAUAGUCUGGAAAUCUUAAUGGUUGAAAGAUUAGGCAACUGGUGCGCUCGACUGAUAAUCGAGUGGUCCGGAGUUCAAAUCUCCGCGGGCCCA